UCUGACCAAACGAUCUCACCUCACAUAACAUCUCUUCCAAACCAGUAGCUGCUCGAUAUCUCCGAUAAGCGGCGGCGGUGGUGGUGGAGGGAAGAUGAAAAAGGGAGAGAAGAGUCGUCGGAAGCGUUCGGGUUGGGAGUGAUGGGAAAGGCUUCCUUCUGCUACGGGAAAUUCCUUUCCUAUUCCUCCCAUACCGAAGGUUUCCGAUCUAUCCUCCCCUUUCCUUCCUACUUCUUCCUCUUCUUUGAAAUUGUAUCUAGUAUUAGAUCUGCUCUUGUUUCUCCAUUUCCCGUGCUACUUAGUUUUUUGGAGAACAAGGGCUGGGCGAACACCAUUUGAUUAUGAAGAUCGCUUUCAUUUGGUGAAAGAUACAAAUUAUUCUAAAUAAUUUGCAUAUUCAACUUUGCCCUUUACUGUUGUCCUUAGUGAUGGAAGAAUAUAGUUUUUUUAUAUAUAUUUUUCAAAUGAAUCUUUUAAGGGGACUAUGUUUUUAGCUCGUUAUUUGAAGCAUGUUCUUUUCUUUUGUC